AGAAACCAACAGGGAUUGCCCUAGUAACGGCGAGUGAAGCGGCAACAGCUCAAAUUUGAAAUCUGGCUUCGGCCCGAGUUGUAAUUUGCAGAGGAAGCUUUGGGCGCGGCACCGACUGAGUCCCCUGGAACGGGGCGCCAUAGAGGGUGAGAGCCCCGUAUAGUCGGACGCUAAGCCUGUGUAAAGCUCCUUCGACGAGUCGAGUAGUUUGGGAAUGCUGCUCAAAAUGGGAGGUAAAUUUCUUCUAAAGCUAAAUACCGGCCAGAGACCGAUAGCGCACAAGUAGAGUGAUCGAAAGAUGAAAAGCACUUUGAAAAGAGGGUUAAAUAGCACGUGAAAUUGUUGAAAGGGAAGCGCUUGUGACCAGACUUGCGCCUGGCUGAUCAUCCGGUGUUCUCACCGGUGCACUCUGCCAGGCUCAGGCCAGCAUCGGUUCUCGCGGGGGGAUAAAGGCCCUGGGAACGUAGCUCCUCCGGGAGUGUUAUAGCCCAGGGUGCAAUGCCCUCGCGGGGACCGAGGUUCGCGCAUCUGCAAGGAUGCUGGCGUAAUGGUCAUCAGCGACCCGUCUUGAAACACGGACCAAGGAGUCAAGGUUUUGCGCGAGUGUUUGGGUGUAAAACCCGCACGCGUAAUGAAAGUGAACGUAGGUGAGAGCUUCGGCGCAUCAUCGACCGAUCCUGAUGUUUUCGGAUGGAUUUGAGUAGGAGCGUUAAGCCUUGGACCCGAAAGAUGGUGAACUAUGCUUGGAUAGGGUGAAGCCAGAGGAAACUCUGGUGGAGGCUCGCAGCGGUUCUGACGUGCAAAUCGAUCGUCAAAUCUGAGCAUGGGGCGAAAGACUAAUCG
rnacentral:rRNA from 1 species